rnacentral:rRNA from 1 species
GAUGGACGCUAGCGGCAGGCCUACACAUGCAAGUCGAGGGGCAGCACAUAAAGUGGUUUACUACUUUUGGUGGCGACCGGCGGACGGGUGCGUAACGCGUAUGCAACCUGCCUCCAACAGGGGGAUAACGGAGAGAAAUUUCCACUACUACCCCAUAAUAUCAGAAUCGGCAUCGGUUUUGGUUGCAAACUCCGGUGGUUGGAGAAGGGCAUGCGGUGUAUUAGAUAGUUGGAGAGGUAACGGCUCACCAAGUCAACGAUACAUAGGGGGACUGAGAGGUUAGCCCCCCACACUGGUACUGGGACACGGACCAGACUCCUACGGGAGGCAGCAGUGAGGAAUAUUGGUCAAUGGGGGCAACCCUGAACCAGCCAUGCCGCGUGCAGAAAGACGGCCCUAUGAGUUGUAAACUGCUUUUACAAGGGGAUAAAUCGGUGUACGUGUACACCGUUGAAGGUACCUUGGGAAUAAGGGUCGGCUAACUCCGUGCCAGCCGCCGCCGUAA